UGAAAGACAUGGGUAGUGAGAUGUUGAUUAAUGAUUGCUCACCUUACUAGUCUGUCUUUC
rnacentral:pre_miRNA from 1 species